rfam:Cavia porcellus supercont2_19 genomic scaffold, whole genome shotgun sequence.
AGGCGCCCAAUAGGUGGGGCUGGAGAAUGGGGGAUCCAGUAAGGUACACUGUUUGUGAAGCUGGCACAAAAACAGAAUGGAGGAAAAAGAAAAGAGGGAAAGUCUACACAGGAGCCGGCUGCAUUUUCUGCACCUUGGUGAGUGAACAGCGAUUAUGGGACAAGAAAUGAGCCAACAUGAGAUCUUUAUUGAAAGUUUAGGAAAGGCUCUAAAGGUGCGAGGAGUAAAGGUUAAAAUUAAACAAUUGUGUCCAUAUUUUGAUUAUAUAAAGACUAAAAUU